rnacentral:rRNA from 1 species
AGUGAACGCUGGCGGUAGGCCUAACACAUGCAAGUCGAACGGCAGCACAGUAAGAGCUUGCUCUUACGGGUGGCGAGUGGCGGACGGGUGAGGAAUACAUCGGAAUCUACUUUUUCGUGGGGGAUAACGUAGGGAAACUUACGCUAAUACCGCAUACGACCUACGGGUGAAAGCAGGGGAUCUUCGGACCUUGCGCGAUUGAAUGAGCCGAUGUCGGAUUAGCUAGUUGGCGGGGUAAAGGCCCACCAAGGCGACGAUCCGUAGCUGGUCUGAGAGGAUGAUCAGCCACACUGGAACUGAGACACGGUCCAGACUCCUACGGGAGGCAGCAGUGGGGAAUAUUGGACAAUGGGCGCAGGCCUGAUCCAGCCAUACCGCGUGGGUGAAGAAGGCCCUCGGGUUGUAAAGCCCUUUUGUUGGGAAAGAAAAGCAGCAGGUUAAUACCCCGCUGUUCUGACGGUACCCAAAGAAUAAGCACCGGCUAACUUCGUG